GAAGUCCCCCCCAAUGAACAGAAACAGUAAACAGUGAUAAGAAGUUUUCGUUUGUGAAUCCGGUGAAUCGUGAUUUUAGUUUAAAUCAUACUUAAAAGUAUUACAAAUGGUUGCUGAUAAUUUGAAAGACAGAAUAAAGAAUCGGAAAGCUGAACCUCAGUUCAUGCAGAUUGAAAGAAAUAACUCUAAAAGAAAUCGUAGGCUGGUAUGAAACAUGUCAGUUUGUUAAAUCUAUCUAUCUAAGAACAAAAUAGCCUUGAUUCCGAGCAAAAAUCAAAGAAAAAUGACAAAGAAGCUCAAUAUUGGGGUAUCGCCACACAAACUAAACAAAAAGAUCGCAAACAGAAGUAACUUUUGAGAUGAUGUACAGUUUUGCUCGGUUCUCAGUUAAUCUAAUACAGUUACUAAAUACACAAUUGGCCAAAGUGAUCAGAGGCAAUUUGUGCAUGUAUGAUAUGAACGAUGAAAUGGUCUAAUACAUUUGUAAAGAAGUGAAAUCUUUCUAUUUCAAUAAUAAAAGGGUAGAUUAUAC